rnacentral:rRNA from 1 species
AGUGAACGCUGGCGGCAGGCCUAACACAUGCAAGUCGAGCGGCAGCGCGUCCGACCACCCUCGGGUGGUCGGAUGGCGGCGAGCGGCGGACGGGUGAGGAAUGCAUCGGAAUCUGCCUCGUUGUGGGGGAUAACGUAGGGAAACUUACGCUAAUACCGCAUACGACCUACGGGUGAAAGUGGGGGACCUUCGGGCCUCACGCGAUGAGAUGAGCCGAUGCCGGAUUAGCUAGUUGGCGGGGUAAAGGCCCACCAAGGCGACGAUCCGUAGCUGGUCUGAGAGGAUGAUCAGCCACACUGGAACUGAGACACGGUUCAGACUCCUACGGGAGGCAGCAGUGGGGAAUAUUGGACAAUGGGGGCAACCCUGAUCCAGCCAUGCCGCGUGUGUGAAGAAGGCC